AUUGAACGCUGGCGGAAUGCUUUACACAUGCAAGUCGAACGAUGAACCUUAGCUUGCUAAGGGGAUUAGUGGCGAACGGGUGAGUAAUGUAUCGGAACGUAUCCAAUAAUGGGGGAUAACUAGUCGAAAGAUUAGCUAAUACCGCAUACGUCCUACGGGAGAAAGCUAGGGACCUUCGGGCCUGGCGUUAAUGGAGCGGCCGAUAUCUGAUUAGCUAGUUGGUGGGGUAAAGGCUCACCAAGGCGACGAUCAGUAGCUGGUCUGAGAGGACGACCGGCCAAACUGGAACUGAGACACGGUCCAGACUCCUACGGGAGGAAGCAGUGGGGAAUUUUGGACAAUGGGCGAAAGCCUGAUCCAGCCAUUCCGCGUGAGUGAGGAAGGCCUUCGGGUUGUAAAGCUCUUUCGCAAGGGAAGAAAACUUAAGCUCUAACAUAGCUUGAGGUUGACGGUACCUUGAUAAGAAGCACCGGCUAACUACGUGCCAGCCGCCGCCGUAA
rnacentral:rRNA from 1 species